rfam:Lactobacillus sanfranciscensis TMW 1.1304, complete genome.
AUUAAAUAGCUGGGGUGCUUAACGGCUGAGAUUAUACCCAUUGAACCUGAUCUAGGUAAUGCUAGCGGAGGUAAUCUGACAAACAGUUGUC